rnacentral:rRNA from 1 species
CAUGCAAGUCGAGCGGGGAUUAUCGAAUGAAGUUUUCGGAUGGAAUUUGGUGAUUCUAGCGGCGGACGGGUGAGUAACGCGUGAGCAACCUGCCUUUCACAGGGGGAUAACGCAUCGAAAGGUGCACUAAUACCGCAUGAGACCACGCUCCCGACAUGAGAGAGGGGUCAAAGGAGCAAUCCGGUGAGAGAUGGGCUCGCGUCUGAUUAGCUAGUUGGUGAGGUAACGGCCCACCAAGGCGACGAUCAGUAGCCGACCUGAGAGGGUGAUCGGCCACAUUGGAACUGAGAGACGGUCCAAACUCCUACGGGAGGCAGCAGUGGGGAAUAUUGGGCAAUGGGGGAAACCC